rnacentral:rRNA from 1 species
GAUGAACGCUAGCUACAGGCUUAACACAUGCAAGUCGAGGGGUAACAAGAGAAAAGCUUGCUUUUUUUGUUGACGACCGGCGCACGGGUGAGUAACGCGUAUCCAACCUGCCUAUAACUAGGGAAUAACCUUGCGAAAGUAAGACUAAUACCCUAUGAUUUCCUUUGAUGGCAUCAGAUUAGGAAUAAAGAUUUAUCGGUUAUAGAUGGGGAUGCGUCUGAUUAGCUUGUUGGCGGGGUAACGGCCCACCAAGGCAACGAUCAGUAGGGGUUCUUAGAGGAAGGUCCCCCACAUUGGAACUGAGACACGGUCCAAACUCCUACGGGAGGCAGCAGUGAGGAAUAUUGGUCAAUGGGCGGAAGCCUGAACCAGCCAAGUAGCGUGCAGGAUGACGGCCCUAUGGGUUGUAAACUGCUUUUAUACAGGAAUAAAGUUAGCCACGUGUGGUUAUUUGUAGGUACUGUAUGAAUAAGGACCGGCUAAUUCCGUGCCAGCCGCCGCGGUAA